UUCUCUCACGAGCGACGAACGAUCGAUAGAAUACACUCUAGAGAGAGUAUCUCCUAACACGUUACACCGAUUUUCCGCAUUUCAGAAUUCGAUUAUCUCCGGCAGCAGCGGUUUCUCAGUGGAUCCUCCCGAUCGUCACGAGACGAGACAGCCGACGGACGCACUGUAGCCGACGUGCCACCACGUUCGCAGCGAAAAUACGGCAAUGCGGCGUGUCGGACCGUGAUGCGAUCCGCGUUCACUCGUGAUCGUCCUCGGUACUCGACUUUCGCGGAUGUACACCAAUGGUACAGCACCAUCGGGAUGCAUAUACGCGGACGCACACUCAGCUGUUUCCCCGCGUCUGCGCCAGUCUUCCCAGCUAUUGACCGAAUACCACGCUGCUGCCUGUGUAACGCAUACAGAGUGUUCCCGAAAUCAUGAUACGAAAUUCGUAUAGUAAUAUCAGUCAAUAUCGUCAGGACGUCACGAGACGAUGUCACAGAACUGUCGAGGUGAUGCCAUAAGAUCGUCAAGAUGUUACAAAAUUGAGUUUACGGUUAUUCGAAAGCGUAGCCGAUUCGUACGAUCUGUGUCACGAUUUCCGCAACACCCAGUGCAUGUGGUUUUCUUGCUACAAGUGCAUGCAUGAACGCAGACAUGCACGCGGGAGACACAGGGAUGGGAUCAGGCUGCAGCUGCAACCAUUGGCAUGUGUACAGAGGGGCCACCGCGCCGGUCAGCUGUUUAAAACCCGAUCCACUUCCGUUUCUUCCUAUCAAGCGAAACCGCAAUAAUAAUAAUGACAAAGAAGUGUACAGGGAGCUCCGUGCGUUUGUGAUGGACAUUUAAUUGCCUCAAAGCAACACUUCCUCAUUAAGAGGAAUAGACACAGUAACGUAACAAGGAACGACACAACCAUGCACCAUCACCGAUACCACGAAAUUCUUUGACAACUGGGAACAAGAUGCAUCAGAGGAACACGCACCCUGUCCAUCGGUCCAUAGCGUGGCGCAACGAAAUGCGCAGCAGUUCCUGUUCCCAGUGCAAUAAAGCCGAGGCGAUUACACCGACGGAAAUCGGUGCAUCUGACGCGGACGACACAUCCGGGGGGAUCCACCGAGCCGUCGAGAUAGGCACCGGUGAGAUCAUCGGGAUUCCAUGCUGCAGAUCCAACAUCGAACGCCAUCAGCCUCCACCGAUCCGGUAAAACGAGAGGAAAAAAAACAGAGCAAAGCUUGCCCGACCCGCCACUGCACACCUUGUCACGUUGCCUUUUCAGCGUAACCGCACCAGUGGAAUUUCUGAGGAUGCCUAUCGACCGGCUUGUCGUGCCUCGUCUCACAACGUGCAAUCGAACACGAUCGAUCAUACGACAUAAUAGGCAAUAGUCACGUGCAAGAUUCGACAAUGUGUUAAGAGUAAUCCCUUGACAAUACUAAGUCUAGAAUAACUAAUUCUCUCAUCGUUCCAGGGUCGUUCGUAGACGAUAUCACUGUUGAUCCAUCGUUAAGAUUGUCAGACUGCAAACUUCGAUGCAUUUAUGAGAAAAUUAAAUGUACGGAAAAUAUACGGAAUAAUUGUCUUUC